CCCUUGGUGGUCUAGUUGGUUGUGAGUAGCCACGCCAUCUCCGGGAUAGAGGAUACACUAACUCUGAGGAAGAUGGCACCCGGCUGUAAUGGCUUUCAGUAUUACCGGGUUGUCGGCGGUUCGAUUCCGCCCCAAGGGA
rnacentral:tRNA from 1 species